AAGUCGUAACAAGGUAACCGUAGGUGAACCUGCGGUUGGAUCAUUACAAAUCCUGACUCGCAAGAGUCUUAACCACCUGUGCAUUAUUAUUGGCAAGGUGUCUGGUCAAACAGAUGCCGAACCUAUUUACUACUAUUAUGUCUGAUAUUAUUUUAUAAUAAUAAACAACUUUUGACAACGGAUCUCUUGGCUCUC
rnacentral:misc_RNA from 1 species